UGACGGUACUUGAGGAGGAAGCCCCGGCUAACUACGUGCCAGCAGCCGCGGUAAUACGUAGGGGGCUAGCGUUAUCCGGAUUUACUGGGCGUAAAGGGUGCGUAGGCGGUCUUUCAAGUCAGGAGUGAAAGGCUACGGCUCAACCGUAGUAAGCUCUUGAAACUGGGAGACUUGAGUGCAGGAGAGGAGAGUGGAAUUCCUAGUGUAGCGGUGAAAUGCGUAGAUAUUAGGAGGAACACCAGUUGCGAAGGCGGCUCUCUGGACUGUAACUGACGCUGAGGCACGAAAGCGUGGGGAGCAAACAGGAUUAGAUACCCUGGUAGUCCACGCUGUAAACGAUGAGUAC
rnacentral:rRNA from 1 species